rnacentral:rRNA from 1 species
UACGUAGGGGGCAAGCGUUGUCCGGAAUCAUUGGGCGUAAAGAGCGCGUAGGCGGUCCGGUAAGUCCGCUCUGAAAGUCCGGGGCUCAACCCCGGGAGGCGGGCGGAUACUGUCGGGCUAGAGUCCGGAAGAGGCGAGUGGAAUUCCUGGUGUAGCGGUGAAAUGCGCAGAUAUCAGGAGGAACACCGAUGGCGAAGGCAGCUCGCUGGGACGGUACUGACGCUGGAGGCGCGAAAGCGUGGGGAGCAAACAGG